rnacentral:miRNA from 1 species
GCAGACACAUUCCAGCCAAUCAGCAGCAGACCCUCCCUCCCAGACCUUCCCACCUCCUGGACAGCUCAUUGUGAAGCUGCAUUCAAUGAUGCUGUCCAGGAGGUGGGAGGGUCUGGGAGGGAGGGUCUGCUGCUGAUUGGCUGGAAUGUGUCUG